GCCUUCGUGGUGUAGUGGUCAAGCACGCUCGACGCGUAACCGAGUGGUCCGUGGUUCGAUUCCCGGCGAAGAUG
rnacentral:tRNA from 1 species